rnacentral:lncRNA from 1 species
AACAUGUGCAAAAGAAGUUCAAACAAUUCAAUCAUUUAAGCUAUGCACAAACAAGUGAUCACACAAAGCAAUUUUCAAGAAUAAGUUCAAAUAUGAUCCAAAAUUGAUAAUCAAAACACCAAAUGAAAUAUCAAAGGACCUAUAUACAUGUGUCUACAUGUUUAUAAAAAUGUGGAUCAAAACCACAAAGGGAAGAUCAAGAAUUAAACCCUAAAAUUUAAAAUUAGGUCAAUUAAACAGAUUUAGUUAUAAAAAUCAAAAUAAAUAUUAAAAUAAAUCAAAAAAGAAAUUAAAAAAUAUGGAAAAUUAAAUAACAUGCAAAAUAUAAUCCAUGAAUUAUUUAGGGAUUUUUGGAUAAAAGGAAGAAUUUAAAUAACAAUUAAAAAGGAAAAGAAACAAAU